rnacentral:rRNA from 1 species
CCUACGGGUGGCUGCAGUGAGGAAUAUUGGUCAAUGGACGAGAGUCUGAACCAGCCAAGUAGCGUGAAGGAUGACUGCCCUAUGGGUUGUAAACUUCUUUUAUAUGGGAAUAAAAUGUUCCACGUGUGGGAUUUUGUAUGUACCAUAUGAAUAAGGAUCGGCUAACUCCGUGCCAGCAGCCGCGGUAAUACGGAGGAUCCGAGCGUUAUCCGGAUUUAUUGGGUUUAAAGGGAGCGUAGGUGGAUUGUUAAGUCAGUUGUGAAAGUUUGCGGCUCAAACGUAAAAUUGCAGUUGAAACUGGCAGUCUUGAGUACAGUAGAGGUGAGCGGAAUUCGAGGUGUAGCGGUGAAAUGCUUAGAUAUAACGAAGAACUCCGAUUGCGAAGGCAGUUCACUGGACUGCAACUGACACUGAGGCUCGAAAGCGUGGGUAUCAAACAGGAUUAGAUACCCGAGUAGUC